CUUCCCCAUGGCAGGCAAAUUCUCAGCCUGUGAGUAGGAGUGGAUCUUGGCUACCUUGUGCUACCUCCAGUAGGCAGAACAGGGGUACAGAAUCUGGACCCCUUCAUAUCUUCAGCUUAUGGAUGAAACCCACAUACUGAUGUCUAACCUGUAACAAAUGCCAAUGUUUUGACCUUUCAAUAGAGAGCUGAUUUUGGAGAACAGCUUACUCCUGUGAUUGAAAAACUCUCUGGAAGGUUGAUGGAGCAUGAGCUUGCUUGAUUUUUGGCCCUAAGUCAAAGAAAUAAGUUCUGUCUUUAACAUUAAAGCUGUCUUCAGAGUUUUGUUUAUUUUAACAAAGCAAGAACAAAUGUGUAAGUACCAGCAAUGUGCAGAGCAAUAUUGCAAUAUUGGUCUGUUCUGUGUUAAGCAGGUGGUUUCAUGUGGCAGGCUGGAAGAGAGACUCUUUUUCUUCCCAGCUUUUGACAAAAAGAUGACGCAUAUGACUCAGAAUUAGAAGGGGAAAUCUGCCAGUUUGCAUCAGUUCCUAAACUUGUGGGCUGCUAUUCACCACAAGGAGAAUCAGUAUACUCGCACCAGUGCUUCUUGAGAGAUGAGGAGUAAUCCUUUCCUUCAGAAAGUGUAGAAUGAUUGGAAUAGGCCUUUCAUAUGUUACACUAGGCUUUUCCUAUAUUAAAACAUUUUUCGAUUGUAUUAAAUUUUUAGAAAGAAAAGAGCACAGAUAAUUUUCUUAAAUGCUACAUUUAAGAAUUAAUAUAGGAAUCAGAUAUUAUAACAAUGCAGAUUAAAAGCAAAGGAAUCUGUUUCAUAAAACUUCUGUUUUGUUGGCACUGAAACUCAGCUGUUUUAGAUCUCCGUAGUCAAUAGGUAAGGGGGUUUUUUUAUAUUUUCUAACUUAAUUCCACAUAUCUGAAUCUCCAGUUUGAGCUUUUAAGUAAGUUAGUAGGACUGAAAAACAAUAAAAAUAGUAACUUUGAAGGCAGAAGCCAUCUGUUUUGAAGGGGAAAAUAAUUAUUUGAAGUCUGAGUUUUCAAAAUGUUUUGCUUUAGACCUGCUAAAAAAGAUAAUGCAGAACUUAGUGAUAAUUCCAAUUAUUCUUCCGUAUGGGUUUGGGUU